rnacentral:snRNA from 1 species
AGCUUUGUGCAGUGGCAGUAUCAUGGCCAAUGAGGUUUAUCUGAGGCACAGUUAUUGCCAAUAGGAAA